rnacentral:rRNA from 1 species
AACGAACGCUGGCGGCAUGCCUAACACAUGCAAGUCGAACGAGAUCUUCGGGUCUAGUGGCGCACGGGUGCGUAACGCGUGGGAAUCUGCCCUUUGGUUCGGAAUAACAGUUGGAAACGACUGCUAAUACCGGAUGAUGACGAAAGUCCAAAGAUUUAUCGCCAGAGGAUGAGCCCGCGUAGGAUUAGCUAGUUGGCGUGGUAAAGGCGCACCAAGGCGACAAUCCUUAGCUGGUCUGAGAGGAUGAUCGGCCACGCUGGGACUGAGACACGGCCCCGAUUACUCCGGGAGGAAGCCGUGGGGAAUGUUGAACCAUGGGCGAAAGCAUGAUCCAGCAAUCCGGCGUGAGUGAUGAAGGCCUUUUGGUUGUAAAGCACUUUUACCCGGGAUGAUAAUGACAGUACCGGGAGAAUAAGCUCAGGCUAACUGCGUUCCAGCCGCCGCCGUAA